rnacentral:lncRNA from 1 species
AGCAGGUUUAACAUCUACGGCAUGAUCCAUUGUGAGAAAAGAGAGGAAUAAAAUGGCUGAACCUAUUGCUGUAGAGGAAUAAAUGGUUUAACCUAUUGGGCGGUAUUGCUGUAGAAGAGUUAACAGAAUAAAUGAUAGAACUAUUGCUGUAGAGGAAUAGUGUCAAGGAAAUGAAUCCACCUGCAGCAUUGUUUAAAUAAUGCAAAUUUCACGUCCUUCCCUCUGAAAUUUUUGUAUUUUUUUCUUUGUUUUUUCCACUCCCUUGAAGCCACGUGUAACGACCUGAUAAAAUUGGAAAAUAGGUUCAGAAAAUGUUGCAGGGGGCUGAGGUGUUGUCGACUCGGCCUUUGAUCUGAAUUUGCCGUGCCCUUUUGGUUUAGCAUUUUCCAUCCCUACAUAUAACAAAAACUGCAUUUACACUGUGAACAAGAAAAGCCUCAAAAUAUAAGCACCAAAUCGUGAAAGUUAUCCAUUACCACCAAAAGUGGCAUUUACUUAUUCCUAGAAAUAUAGUGGCUGCACAAUCUCAUAAGUCAGCCAAUCUUCGUGAAAGUAAUCGAACCGCAUACUCGGAUUAGCAAGCCAUAUGUACAUGGAAGUUGGAACCCUAAAUGUAGGAAGUUGACUACACAGGGGAUUUCACUUCUGCUGCCCCUAUGGGGAUUGAUCAACCAGCUGGUUAUACUGUAGUCUUUCAGACCCUCUGCAAUAGAGGACAGGAUGCUGCAAAAGCUGGAUCUCUUUUCCCACGCCCCAUACAUGCAUGGGUAAAAAACUGAAUUUCCAAUGUAACACAAUAUGGUUUCACAACAAACAAAAUGUUUUACAGAAAGAAAAGAACAAUUGUUUUAGUCAUGAAUCUAUUGUUGUGUGAAAUGGAAUUGCAGAGCAGGAAACAUGCAUGCAAUUCAAGCUCCAAAAAGCCAACGUAUACAUAAAAACCUGUGAAUUGAGUAAAUGACUACUGCUACA